rnacentral:rRNA from 1 species
AUGCAUCAGCUGGCCCAUGAGCUGGAAGAUAAGCUGGCCACCCUGAACUCAUCCAAGGCGCAGGGCGGCGAUGGUUGCCGUCCUUGCUCCAUCGUCGUCGGAAAGGUCCGCGACCUCACGCGCAACGUCGACAGCAGCGAGUAUGAUCCUGACCACGUCGCCAUCGGCCCGUACAACUACCCUCGGCCCCAGAGCAACAACCCACACCUCGCCAUGGAGCAUGACAAGCUGGCAAGCCUCGACAUGGUGCUCUCGGCGGCGAAGGCAGCAAGACCGGCCAUGACGGUGGAUGUCUAUGUCAAGGAGCUGGCAUGCCUGGAGCGUGACACCAGGAACUGCUACGCCAACACAUUUGAGGACAUGACGAGCGAGCAAUUCGUGCGCAUGCUGCUCCUCGACGCCUGUUACAUACUGUCCCGCCUUGUCGGCCUCAGAUCACAUCAUCUAGAUCUAGAUGAUGUGGGGACUGCGGAGGCCGCCGUCUCGUCAGCAAACAGGGCGGAGGCGCUAGCGGUGGUCCGCGACGUGUUCUAUCUCGCGGAGAACCAGAUACCGUUCUUCGUCCUUGAGAAGAUCGGGGAGCUGACCACUUUGGACGGUAAGGAUCGUGUGCUUACAGAGAUCUCGGAUUAUGCCCUUGAUCUCAUGAGGAGACAAAUGUACGCCAUGGCCGCGCCGGCCAUGGUGCUGCCAGAGCAGGCGGCACCCGGUAAUCUUCUCCAUCUUCUUCAUAUGCACUUGAAGCCACUCUCUGUCUCGCCUGCCGUGCCGUUUUGCACCGCUGAUCCCAUGUCUGUGCGCCGGUGGCGCUCGGCGACCGAGUACAACUUCGUGGGAGUGAAGUUCAAGGCUCGGGCCAUGGGCGAGAAGGGUCUCAUCCGCUGCAUCCUCGACGUCAAGUUGGACGGCAGUGGCGGCACUCUGGAGGUCCCCUGCCUGGACAUCGACUCCGAGACAUGGCGGUUAUUACGUAACUUGAUAGAGCUGGAGCAACGUAACCGGGAGACGGUGGGGAGCCACGUCACGGCAUACUGCGUGUUCAUAUCCCAGGUGGCCUGCACCACGAAGGACGUGGAGCUCCUGUCGAAGAGAGGCGUCAUCGUGCAUGGCCAUGGGAACAAUGAAGAGGUGGCCAAAUGCUUCGCCGACCUUUGCAAGGGGAUCCAGUUCGACCCGGAUGACCCCAACUGCAACUACCUUCGGGAGACAUGCAAGAAGCUUGAGAAGCGGUUCCAGAGCUACCCGCGGAGGUGGAUUGCGUGGCUAAAGCAGAGGUACUUGAGGAACCCCUGGCUAGCCGUUGGCCUCCUGGCAGCUGUUAUUGGCUUAGUUCUUGCAGUCAUCCAAACUGUCUACUCUGUUUUGUGUUACUACAAACAACAAUGA